CUGAUUAGAAUUGGUUGAAUGAUUGAUUAUACCUAGGUGUAGUUUCUUAUUUUCUGGGUUUUUGAUUAUUAAAAUCUGUAUUCUUUCUAUUUGAUUCAGAAAAAAAAAAAUCUUUUUGAUUCCUGGCGUUUGAUUAUUAAUUAGUUGUUGAUAUUCAAAUGCAUGAUCAGUGUUCAUAGAUUCAUUGGUAAUUAAAUCUUGGAAACAAAAGUUGCUGAUUUGGUUUAAGAUUCCAAGAACAGAUUGUCUGAUAUCUCAGUCAUCUCCAUGUUUGUCUUCGCUUUCCUUCAGAAACUCACUUAGGUCGGACUUUGUAAAUUGCAAUCAUGUGACCGCUUUGCCUUCUGGAGUUUCCAGUAUAUUCGAUAGUUUCAUUUCAGCGUCAUGAUUCAAAUCUCCACUGAGGUUUGAUCUUAUUGGCUUAUUUAAGUGAUUUCUUAAUAAUCCACAGGACCAGUAAGCUUCAUGAAUGAUCAUCUCAAAUCGACUCUGCUUUUUUUUUCCUGAUUGGUGAUCCUUGAUUCUGGCUUUCUUAAUAAGAUCAUUUUUCCGAUAAUUCAUUUUUCCGUCACAAAAAAAAAGGGAACACAUUGAUAAUAUAAUCUCCACGCGUAUUCUUUCUUAUAUAAUUGGUGUGAUCUAAUAUUUUAACAAGCUUCAGUCUUGAUUAAUUUGUGUUUUUGGUUUUUCAUAAGGAAGGUAUGGUGAUGGAGAAUGAGUAAUAUGACACCUUAACCGUCACAACUGAUACUUCCGAAACUAACAUUAAAAAGACAACGCAAGGAAAGUUCAUCGGAGAUUCUCAAGCUACUAAAAACUUUUAGUGGGACUAGCAAGAAAGAUCCCAAGAAGUUUAUCCAUGAAGACCUGGAUUAGUAGUACUGCUAAGUUAACUCUCCAUGUUCUUGGAGCUGAUCUUACCGUCUACCGGUAGAUGCAGCAGUUAUCAGAUGGGCUUAUGCACCCGGUGAAUGAUUACCUUUGCAGGUUUUCAGAAAAAAAGAUUCUCUCAAGCACUUUUUUUUUCUGAAAAAAAUCCCAACACGAAGAGAAUUGUACAACAACAUGUUCUGUUAAGAAGUCAUGACAGACAUGAAAGCUGGAUCAUUGUUUUUAGGUUUUUCUUUGAUGUGUUGGUCUUUAAGGAUACCACUAUCAUGAGUCCAGUUAUUUAUGAAAUAAUUUGAGAAAUUGUAAGUUUGCUUGAGAUGAAAAAAUUAAAAUGUUCUUUUCACUUUA